AGAAGUCACGCGUAGUACACCCUCCAGAGCGUGUCAGUGCGCGUGUAGGCGCGUGAAGAGCGCGUGAGUGACCGUUUUCCCUCCGUUCGACCUCCGUUUGCUUGUUCUUUGCCUCGAUUUCAACUCUGAUCCUAUUUUUAUGUGAAUUAGAACCUAUCAAGGAAAUUCCAGAAUUUUUGGAACCUUUUCUGGCAAAUGAUUCGAGCUUGGGAAGGCACGCAUCAACCAUGUACCAGUCGAUACGGGAAGGUGUUCGAGAGCUGCACUGUCACAGAGGGGUGUCGUUCCAGAGCGUUAGUCCCUUGUCGGUCUUUUAGAGUCCUUCGUCCGUUUUCAUAUUUGG